GUCCCAUUCUGGAACAUCUUCUGCAGUCGCAGCUGUGCCCAAGCUCACUCCUCUGCCAGGCUCCUUCAGGAGCCAGCCUGCUGCCAGAGCUCCAGCAGAAGUGAUGCCCCUGGCAGAUGGCAUCCACCCAGCAGCACCAGGACAGGAGCUCCACCUCACGUGGACCAAGAGCAAUGGGUUCAAAUCUAAGCACUGCCCAUGUCCUGCCCACGGUCCUUCAAGCCUGCCAACAGAUGCCCAGCACUACAGCCUCAUGUUGUGCCCCCCAGGAUCAAGCCACCAGCCCCACAGCUCCAGCCUGGAUGACCAAACCCACACACCCCACGAUGCCCUCAGCUCUGCAUCCUGCAGCAAGAUGGUGAAAGCAGCUCUGUGACUUGGUGCCAGCAGCUUAAGCCUUGUCUGACUGGGUCUGAGCUGCUCUGCCCAGCCUCAUCCAGCCCACAGGUCCCAGUUUGCUCCAGAACCCAGCAGGAGCUGGGGUAAGGCAGAGUGGCUGCAGAAAAAGUUGCUUUUGAAGUGCUAAGACUGCACUAUCAGAGCCAAGCUCCUGAAGGCAUCAGCAGAAAACUUGCUUG